GAGAAAGAAAGAAAAGAAUAAAUCCUGCUAAGACUUAUUAACCAUGGUUAAAUUCCAUGGCUUACUCA
rnacentral:tRNA from 1 species